GAAAGAAUGGAACUUAAAACUCUAUAUUAUUUAUCAUUCUUUAUAAAUCUUGGUUGGUUGGCCGGGUCACCGGACACAUUUUUAAAACUAGAUACCCCAAUGAUGAUUGUGGUCAAGUUUGGUUUAAUUUGGCCCAGUAUUUUUCAGAGGAGAAGAUUUUUUGUAAGAGUUAACGACGACAGACUACAGACGACAACGACGGACGCCAAGUGAUGAGAAAAGCUCACUUGGCCCUUCAGGCCAGGUGAGCUAAAAAAGAGUACUUAACUUAUAUUACCUUAU
rnacentral:lncRNA from 1 species